rnacentral:rRNA from 1 species
GUGUCAGCCGCCGCGGUAAUACGAAGGGGGCUAGCGUUGUUCGGAAUCACUGGGCGUAAAGCGCACGUAGGCGGACUUUUAAGUCAGGGGUGAAAUCCCGGGGCUCAACCCUGGAACUGCCUUUGAUACUGGAAGUCUUGAGUCCGAGAGAGGUGAGUGGAAUUCCGAGUGUAGAGGUGAAAUUCGUAGAUAUUCGGAGGAACACCAGUGGCGAAGGCGGCUCACUGGCUCGGUACUGACGCUGAGGCGCGAAAGCGUGGGGAGCAAAUAGGAUUAGAUACCCUGGUAGUCCACGCCGUAAACGAUGAGGGCUAGUUGUCGGGCGGCUUGCCGUUCGGUGACGCAGCUAACGCAUUAAGCCCUCCGCCUGGGGAGUACGGUCGCAAGAUUAAAACUCAAAUGAAUUGACGGGG